UGACAACCUAAUCGGGAGGGGAAAAACAUGGAAUUUCAACAUUUUUAGGAUAUUAUAAAAUGUUUAAACCAUUUUAAUGAAAAUGUCGAAGCAUCGGUGAAAUUAUAUUUAAACAGGUUUCCAGCGAGGCGUCAGCCAUCUUGGGGCAAAGUCAUGUUAAAAGAAAUGAAGCUGGGAAAAUAAUUGUUUUAGCGUACGUGAAAGCAGCACCCCGACAUUUCUGUAGAAAAUAGUGGAAGAAGUAGGAGUUUCAAAAACAAAAGUACAAAAAUUUAAAUAAAGCAAAUCUAAACCGUAUAAGCUAAAAAUUGUUCGAGAAUUGCAUGUUGACGAUCGGAUUGCAAUUUUGCAAAAAAGGUAAUAUGAUCUGAGGAAUCUUAUAUAAGCAGCAGCAUGUUUAAUAGG